ensembl:lncRNA
CUUUAAGGAACUUGUCAUGAUCCAAGUAGGAAUAUCAUGGCAGCAGAGAACUGAAGCGCUGAGCCUGUAGCUCACUGAUCAGGUACUAGAAGUUGGGAGUACAGCAAACUGGCUAAAAUGCAGUUAUUUUCAGGAAAAUAGCCUCACUGAAGUACUGUUGGUUUUUGUUGUUUCUUUUUUUAAUCAGUACAUUUGACCCAUAUGAACAAUAAUGUGUGCAGGAGAGCGAGACUUUUUGUUAGGAGACAGAGCAAAGCUUCUGAGAGAUGAAUGCACGAUGGCAUUGGCCGCUGAUCCAAGUUAAGCAGCCUGACUCUCCUACCAGGAAAUACUUAGCAGAUGUCAGGUAGCUUCUUAACAUGUUAAUCCUUUACAUGAUAGGGGUAUUUAUUGCUUUUAGUUUGGGGAAAGUAUACUGUGUUUUUCCAGUCUAAUAUGCACACAGAAUGCAAAGCAUAACAAAGGUUUUGCCUAUGGGAGCUACAAGCAAUAACUCUGUAAUUAACAGCAUUACAUCUGGGUUGUGGACAUGGAACAGGUACUGUAGUCAGUCAGAGAAAGUCCAGCUAUUGCUAGUACAGCAGGGAUGGGUUUUUAAGCUUUGCCAGUACAGAUCUCUUUCCAUGAUAAAAACCAGUGUUUCUGAUGCUGCCUAUGAACACCCUUCCUUAGCUCCUUAUGACAGCCCGAUCAUUUCUGUACAGUAGCCCAGGAGAGGUUCAACAUUCACCUCGAUAUGCCUGUGCUGUUGUCCUGCCAUGCCAUCAGGAUCCAAUUUUGAUCUAACAACUGCUUAACAUUUAGACAAAAUAGACAAGAUUUGAUAUGGCACCUGGGACAGUGCCCAUCACAGGGCCGAACUGUGGAUCUGGGUCCAGUUGACGCCUCACACACCACACACGUUCCCUCAGCCCAGCUCUCACACCUUCUCCUUCCCAGAUGAGCAGAUUCCCUAUGGAUGGCUCAGGAAUCUCCAGUCCUCGCACCCCCAGGCAGCUGCCUCCAUCACAGAGGCCUUGCACCUGUAGCUGUUCCUUCUGGACUCAUAGAGAUACCGCCUGCAGCCAAAAGAGCUGUAUGUAGCCUCCAGUGUGCUCCUUGCACUGUUCUAAGACUCCAUGAGGCCUUGCUGAGAUCCCUCUGAUGCACUGCAGAUAUCUGGUUCAUAUAUUGCUCUCUAAUUUAUGCUUUCCCCUGCACUUUUUUUUCCAGAUGAGCUUUUUAGCAGCUACAUGGGUGUUACUGUGGUGACUGUAACCAGGCAAAAACACACCAUUCUUAUUGAGAUGGUUCUACAAUUGUGGACUUGGAUACGAUUAAGAGAUUUCUAAAGGCCUGCAGUAUAUUUUUUUCUUUUGCCCUUUUCUGCGAAACAGAAAGAGAUUUCUAAUGAAUUUCCAGUUACAAAGUAUGAAGUGGAAAUGUAUGAUUCAUCUUCAGAAGCAUGCGUGUAUUAGUUUAUACAUAAACACACGCAUAUUAUGCACACAAAUGUUGUGCCUUUUAGCUGGUUAGAGAUUUUGAAGAGCUUUUAACCAAGCAUAAUUGAGAUUUUUUGGAUGUUUCGGCUUUGCAUUUCUUUGUGCUUCAUUUGGUUUUCUCGUUAAAUUUGAUUUUAACUUAGAAUGUCCAAGGGUUAUAGUUUCUGGGCUUUGAAUAAUUACAUUAUCUCUGCAGUAUAUUUUACUGUAAAUCACUGCCGUGUACCCCUAACAUUGCCUCCAUCUUCAUUUUUCUUCCUGUGGUAUAAUGUAGUUUCCCUGCUCUGUGAGGUUUUUGAGGAGACAGCAGUCCGUGAUUCGCAGCAGGUGAGUGCCUUUCCAAAGAAAGGUGAGAAUGUGCUGCUGAAAGAUGUCAUUAUUGCUCUCAAAAACCAGAACGGAAAUGUAUCGUUUUAUCUUACUUUCCUAGAGAAACAAAACAGGACAAGUGUAGCAAUUAAUGAAAAAGAGAAUUGUAGUGCAAACCCAGAUUCUUAAUAUACUGAUAAGUGCAUAUUAAUCUCAGCAAUUAGCCAUGAGCUGCUAUUUUCCUUCCGUGUGCAGCUCUCUCUGAAAUUGUAGUGAUGUUAGUAAUGUAUACAAAACUGAUAAUCUGCUUCUCUAGGCUUGUUUAAGACAAAAAGACAUAAUCACCAAACCCCAUGUCUUAAUGUACCAAUUUUUGUUGACAUACAAGCUAACAGAACUGACAUGAACAUCUUCUAUAAUACAGCCUGCAUUCAGCCAACAGAGUCACAGAACGAAAGAGUAGGAGGCACCCUUUGAUCAGAUAGUUUGAAUGCUUUCCUAUUAAAACCAUUGCACUUUACCUGCUUUAUUUAUUGCCAGGCCUGGUAGCUUAUGUGUGACAGCAGUGGAUUCCCAGUAAGGCAUCAGACCUUCAUCUGGAGACUGGGGAGGAGAAUGCUGGGAUGGGGAAUUGUUUCAUUCAGCUCUUUGCUCCAGGUGUGAAGAGUCCUUUUCAUUACAGAUCCAUACAACUUACUUUGGCUUCCACUGCAGGCUUUAUAGAGAGGACAAGGAGCAGUUUAAUCUGGUUCACGAAGAGCACAGAUACCUGCUCUGAGUUCACUGUUGCUUUGACAGGGAAACUGUGACUGUGCUAUAAAAACAUCUGCAGCUCUGAAUUUUGUCUCCUCUGUCAGUAAUAUUUCUCUGAUGAGAAUUAGCAAAGGCAAAUCUGGAAGGAUGAAGAACCAGAGAGGAAAGGCAGAAAACUAGCAAUGGAGAGACAUAUAUGUCGCAUGACUCUUCUCUGGUAGGAAAGAUCUUGCACACAUACACAAAAGAAAAUCAAGUCUUCCUGUAAGUAUCGCAAUCUCUUUAAUUCUUUUCCCUAGUACUUGACAUAAUCUUUAUGUGUUUAAAAAUUAAAUGCGAAGUUGCAGGAAGGACUGCACAGUGGCUCCUCUGGGCCUGAAUCCAUUCUUUAUUGGGGCCUUCCCCUCUUUUUGCCAUCCUUUGUUUGCUCUGGUAAAACGAGCAAUUGUGUGGGACAUGAGCACAGUCCAGACCUCAUUCAAGUCUCCGUUUGUUCCCUGAAUGACCUGGCUGUGCAGAUCUCACUCUGCUCACGUCAGUGCAGAGGAAAAAGCUCCAGUCUUGAAGUGUAAGCACAAGGGAGAGAACUGAGUUUUCCCAUGCGUUGUUGCUGCCAUUGCGUCAUUCCAAGCUCAGGAUUUGGUGUCUCAGAAAAGAUAUCUUGUCAUUGUCUAUGUUCUUUCAAAUUUGAUCACUUUAACUUCCCCAACAGCAAAGGUUCUCUUUGAAAUCCUCAAUGUCCAUUUAUUGUUCUUGCUUCACAUUUGAAAUCAAGCAGGCAUGAAACAAAUUUAAUGUAGCUCCAACCUUCUUCCACCCAGCUUGGUAAACUGGUAUUGAUCCAUCUAAUGCAUCUAACAGGGACCAAACGGGCUGCACAAGGAGAUAUUUUCAUUCCGUUGUGUGAUUUUUUUCAGCACAAUGGAUUGGUUUCCUUUGGAAAGCUUGCUCCAGAUUGUAUACUGGAAGGUAUGAAUAUCAUUCAAUGUAGUAAAAGGAGGGAUGACCUCUUACAGAGUUCAUCACUGGGAUUUGCUCUGGAAAAAAGUCUGGAGAGGGUUUGGAGGAAGCUGACCCAGCAGCCACUCCCAGCACCAACCACUGACCAAGAGAUGCCUCUAUGAAGCCUAAUUCCUCACCUGGAGGAGAAGGGUGAGAACUCCCAUAUGACCAGCCCUGCACAGCACCAUGCGUUCUUCCACCCUUCCAGCUCAAAUAGGGUGACCUACAAAUACACCUAUUUUCCUUUCUUCAGUAAUUAAUCCAAGAGAAGUAACUAUCCGGAGCAGCAAACUGAGCACACCGUGAUGGCUCUUCCAUUCAGACUGUCAUAACCUGCUUGUGCCACAAAGCAUUAUUUCAUUUUAUCUGGAGGCAGCUGGACUGACAAUACAGUUACGCCAUUUCAGGAAGCUUUUAGAGAUCUGCAGUGUCAAGAAAGAACAAUUUGCGUUAUCUUCUUUAUUGUGUCUAUUACUUCUUCAAAAAAACAUCAUUUAACGUGCAAAUGGCAAAUAGAAGCAUUCUUGAAAUUUAUACUUGGUGCAGAUUUUAUGUCCUCUUCCUUCAAUCAUUGCUGAAAUUAGAAGGUUAAAAACAUUUUUG